AUGUCGUGCUCCGGCAGCCAUUCCGGCUCUAACCUCGACGUCGACGAGGAGCUGGCACUUCACAUUGCCUUGGAGCGGUCCAAGCUGGGCGACGCGGCCGACAGGAUCGUCAGGGAGUCGAACCCCUCCACCGCGACCCCGACCGGCCAAGGCAUGGUUCGCUACGACGACAAACGCAUCAGCUCGGCCUUCAACCUGGGCAGCUGGCUGGAGAUCCACACCGCCGAGGACCUCCCGCCCAACGGGGAGUUCCCGCCGGGGUGGCUCGAGGAGCGGAGGCGGAUGCUGGACGAGGAGAUGUGGCCGGAGAAGAGGGGCGAGCCCAACCACUCGCGAUUCCAUCUACUAGCCAAGACGCGCGUCGACUUGCUCACCAAGGGCUACGUCGAGUUCCCCAAGCCGUACGUUGACUACACGCCUUACUGA
rnacentral:rRNA from 1 species